GUGUUGUAUGAAAGGAGAGAAGGUUAGCACUCCCCUUGACAAGGAUGGAAGAGGCCCUCGGGCCUGACAACACGCAUAUCGUUUUUUAAAAAUUUUUAU
rnacentral:ncRNA from 1 species